GAAUAGAUCUAAGGGCUUUUGAGGGGCAGAAGACGCACCUAGAAAUCAUUUCCAACUGGUAUCCUGCUUUCUACAACAGUCAGUGUCCUUUCAUAGCUGGGGGUGUCUUCCCCCAAUCAACCACAUGGCCUUCUCUGUGGUCAGAGUAGACUCAGAGUGGGCAUGAGGAAGCAGGGGCCAGACUUCCCAGGUUUCCCAUUGUUUUUAGGACCCCAGAAAGCUGAGUCAGCCUAUGAACCCAGUGUGUACAUCUUCCUACAGUAAUUUAGCAGUUUUCACAUUCCAUGCCUUAGCCAAAAUGGAAAAUGAAAGAAAGGAAAAAAAAAAAGGCAGUGCUAUGUUUUAAAAUGGCCUUAGCUCUGUGAGUUCCAACAUGGGAAUCUGCUGUCUGUGAUGUCAUGGGCCCCAGGUCCUCUGGGCAUUGUUAUUGACACUUCAUGUGGUAGGCUGGGCCCCGGAUCCACACAUUCCUCUUGCCAGAGCUGUGUGAGCCUGCGGGCAGGCAGUGGCUCCAUCUGCAAGCCUGGGCCAGACCCCUGAGCCAGGAUGGAGCCAGGCACUGGGCAGACAGGGGGCACCCUCUGUAAGAGCCCAGUUCAGCUCCUUGCUCUGUCAUCCAGAGGUCUCUGAGGUCCUCCCCUCAUGGGAUCUGCGGCCACCCUGAGACACAGAGGGUCAGCACCCUGCUCUGUGUCUGUCCAUGGGGCAGCAGAGUGGUGUGGCCCUGCUCCGGUCACGUAGUUGGGGAGUGCUGGCCUUGCCCAUCACUAGGGGAGCCCUGCCCUCUGACUUUGAAUGCUAUGAGGAGGGCCUGGUCCUUGCCCACGAGCAGUUAACAGACUGAGUCAAGCUAUGGGGAAAGCACUUGGUCAAGUCCAAGUCUUCAUUUUACGGUGUGGAAGAAACCAACAGGGCAGGGACUGGCCCAAGGCCACGGAGACCAUCCACAGGCCAGGCAGGGCUGGAUGCAGGCUCUGGACUCCUGGCGAGGAGCAUUUCUGACUCUAUCUGCACUUAAGCAGUUCCGUUCGGGCGGAAGCUCUGCUGUUCCGGAAGAGACGCCAGGCCUUUCCAGAAUCCGGUCUGAAUCAGGAUCUGCUGUCAAGGCUUGGUCCUCAGGGAAGCACUGCUGGCAAAGAGAGGUCUAAAGCUCAUUUUUCCUAUUUAAAAGUAAUAACCUAUUAUUUGGGCAUGGUCUGGAAAUCCAGGGUUGUCUCAGUCCUGACUGGCUGUGUGAACUUGGGCAGGCCCUUGCCUCUCUCUGGGCCUGUCUUAGAAAUGCCAGUAAAUAAGGUUUGCCCCAUGAGAAGUAAAUGAAUCCAAAGGCUCCCUGGCUCAGGACACAGCUCUUUGGCCGGGACAUCAGAGCUGUUCAUCUGUCCAAAGGAAGAACACAGCAACCCAGAAGUGAGGUAUCUAGAGAAAAUCCAAGGUUCAGAGACAUCCACUUGCGCUGUGCACCCAUUCAGCACAGUCCAGAAGGCUCCCCGCAAUAUUAGGACUGUCACCAUCUACUCUACAAUGAGGAAAGCUGAUCUAAAGAUCAGAGAGAAGUGAGGCAGUGUGUCCAGGGUCACACAGCCUCUGAAUGGCCAAACUAGAGUUUCAACUCACUUCUGUCAAGAGUCCAGAUUCUUCCCUACAACAAGCUGAGAUGUUUCCAGAAGACCAGGAUGGUGUAUUAUGGUCUCAAAGCUACAUGGAUGGGCAACAGAUUUCAUAUUCACAGAAUGCGGGGGUCAUCAUCACAAACUCAGAGUAGCAUGUGAAAUGCCAGCCUGGAUGAGUUACAAGCUGGAAUCAACAUUGCUGGGAG